AUGGCUGUCCUGGUGCUGCUCCUCUGCCUGGUGACAUUUUCAAGCUGUGCCCUGUCCCAGAUACAGCUGAAGGAGUCAGGACCUGGCCUGGUGCAGUCCUCACAGACCCUGUCACUCACCUGCACUGUAUCUGGGUUCUCUUUAACCAGCUAUGGUGUACACUGGAUCCGCCAACCUCCAGGAAAGGGUCUGGAAUGGAUGGGAGUAAUAGCAUAUAAUGGAAAUACAAAUUAUAAUUCAGCUCUUCAGUCCCGAAUCAGCAUCACCAGGGACACCUCCAAGAGCCAAGUUUUCUUAAAACUGAACAGUCUGCAAACUGAGGACACAGCCAUGUAUUACUGUACCAUAGACACAGUGAGAGAACUCCAGUGUGAACCUGCCCAAAAACCUCCAUAUGGAGAUGCUCACAACCAGCAGGGGGCAUGUGGUCCAGCAGAGUCUCCCAAGAGCAGUGUCCAGUGUGAAGUGCAGUUGUCGGAGUCUGGUGGAGGCUUAGUGCAACCAGGAAAGUCCCUGAAACUCUCCUGUGCAGCCUCUGGAUUCACCCUCAGUGGUUACCUGAUGAACUAG